rnacentral:rRNA from 1 species
GGCGGCAGGCCUAACACAUGCAAGUCGAGCGAGACCUUCGGGUCUAGCGGCGGACGGGUUAGUAACGCGUGGGAAUAUACCCUUCACUACGGAAUAGCCUCGGGAAACUGGGAGUAAUACCGUAUACGCCCUUUUGGGGAAAGAUUUAUCGGUGAAGGAUUAGCCCGCGUCUGAUUAGAUAGUUGGUGGGGUAAUGGCCUACCAAGUCUACGAUCAGUAGCUGGUUUGAGAGGAUGAUCAGCAACACUGGGACUGAGACACGGCCCAGACUCCUACGGGAGGCAGCAGUGGGGAAUCUUAGACAAUGGGCGCAAGCCUGAUCUAGCCAUGCCGCGUGAGUGACGAAGGCCUUAGGGUCGUAAAGCU